rnacentral:lncRNA from 1 species
UUUUUUUUCUCCUGCCCAGCAGUGCGCUGCUGCUGCAAACGCAUAGGAACCAUAGGGCAAAUACCUACAACCACCAAAUGGCACAAUCACAGCACUCAGCCACUGCAGUCCCUAAUGACCACCUCCCCAGCAGUUUUCAGAGCCAUCCCUUUUGCUAUGGGUGAGGUAUCUGACAGGGAAAGGUUUGGGUCACAGGCCAGGCCACCCCCAGGCUGGUUAAGGACACCCAGGGUGGGGACAAGUAUUACAAGAAAAGCACUGCAGGAGAUCAUUUCCGAACCAUGCUGAGAUUACACCCAACACAACAGGUUGCCAGUGACCGGGGCAUGUGUAAUGCAGAACACUGUUACAGAAAACACAUGAUGCUAGAAGUGAAAGCUUUUCAUUAUAUUGGAUCAUCCAAUCCAUCCCAAAGAUUACUCUGCUGUGUACACUCUAACAUCUUACACAAGCGCGAGGCCACUAAAAAAAUCCUGAUGCUUGGCCAUCCAGUCCUCCCUACCCUGAGGGAUAAUACUACUUUUUGAACAUGCUGUUACAGAAAUUAGUCUUGUGUAGUUUCUAAGCCUGAUAAGAGAGGGAAAGAUGAGUACAGGCAAGUGACUGAACUAACUGGAAGAAGAAAAAGUGGAGCUCUUUUGCAUGCUGUAGAGAUGGCAGAACAUUUAAUGCUGGGCAUUACAAUUUAGGGCUUAAAAGUAUGCUUGAACUGCCAUUUCUGUCUACUAAAAUGUUCUCCAACCAAGUGAGUGGAUCUUCUCAUAAGUGUUCUUCAAAGUUGUGUCAAGAGAGAAGAAAACUGUCUUUCUGCCUGUUUGAAGCUUGGCUUUUUCAAAUACACUGGUGGAUAUUUAGCUGAAAUGCUGAACAUAUGUUUGAAAUUUGCUCAUCUCCAGUUUGGUUGAUAAAGUGAAAAGUUGAGAUGCAAACAGAGUUUUUAACAUAGAAUGGUUUGUUUUUCUAUCUAGCAGAAAAGUAUUGUGUUAUACUGUUUCAUAUAAAAGCUGGUUCUCAGUAAUAAAGGUGUUUUUCCUUUUAUGUGAUAAGAUGGG